GUGCCAGCAGCCGCGGUAAUACGUAGGUGGCGAGCGUUGUCCGGAAUUAUUGGGCGUAAAGAGCGUGUAGGUGGGAUCAUAAGUCUUUUGUCAAAGUGCGGGGCUCAACCCCGUGAUGCGGAGGAAACUGUGAUUCUUGAGUGCCGGAGAGGAAAGCGGAAUUCCCAGUGUAGCGGUGAAAUGCGUAGAUAUUGGGAGGAACACCAGUGGCGAAGGCGGCUUUCUGGACGGUGUCUGACACUGAGGCGCGAAAGCCAGGGGAGCGAACGGGAUUAGAUACCCCCGUAGUCC
rnacentral:rRNA from 1 species